rnacentral:rRNA from 1 species
CAGCAGCCGCGGUAAGACAGAGGAUGCAAGCGUUAUCCGGAAUGAUUGGGCGUAAAGCGUGCGCAGGCGGUUAUAUAAGACAGAUGUGAAAUCCCCGGGCUCAACCUGGGAACUGCAUUUGUGACUGUAUAGCUAGAGUACGGCAGAGGGGGAUGGAAUUCCGCGUGUAGCAGUGAAAUGCGUAGAUAUGCGGAGGAACACCGAUGGCGAAGGCAAUCCCCUGGGCCUGUACUGACGCUCAUGCACGAAAGCGUGGGGAGCAAACAGGAUUAGAUACCCCAGUAGUCCCUGUCUCUUAUAA